rnacentral:rRNA from 1 species
CCUACGGGGGGCAGCAGUGAGGAAUAUUGGUCAAUGGCCGAGAGGCUGAACCAGCCAAGUCGCGUGAGGGAUGACGGCCCUACGGGUUGUAAACCUCUUUUGUCGGGGAGCAAAGAGAGUCACGUGUGGCUCAUUGAGAGUACCCGAAGAAAAAGCAUCGGCUAACUCCGUGCCAGCAGCCGCGUUAAUACGGAGGAUGCGAGCGUUAUCCGGAUUUAUUGGGUUUAAAGGGUGCGCAGGCGGAGGUGCAAGUCAGUGGUCAAAUUGCGGGGCUCAACCCCGUACUGCCGUUGAAACUGCAGCCCUUGAGUGCGCGAGAAGUAGGCGGAAUGCGUGGUGUAGCGGUGAAAUGCAUAGAUAUCACGCAGAACUCCGAUUGCGAAGGCAGCAUACCGGCGCGCAACUGACGCUCAUGCACGAAAGCGUGGGUAUCGAACAGGAUUAGAUACCCUUGUAGUC